GUAGCUCAAUCGGCAGAGCAGCCGGCUCAUAACCGGUCGGUUGGGGGUUCGAGUCCCUCC
rnacentral:tRNA from 1 species